rnacentral:tRNA from 1 species
ACAGUCGUGACCGAGUGGUUAAGGCGAUAGACUAGAAAUCCAUUGGGGUCUCCCCGCACAGGUUCAAAUCCUGUCGACUGCG